rnacentral:tRNA from 1 species
GCGACCGUAGCUUAACUGGCAACAGUGCCGCAGUGUCGUUCUGAAGGUCGCGGGUUCAAAUCUCGCCGCCGUCGCC